UUAAAUUGAAGAGUUUGAUCAUGGCUCAGAUUGAACGCUGGCGGCAGGCCUAACACAUGCAAGUCGAACGGUAACAGGAAGA
rnacentral:rRNA from 2 species